GACGAACGCUGGCGGCGUGCUUAACACAUGCAAGUCGAACGGAAAGGCCCUGCUUUUGUGGGGUGCUCGAGUGGCGAACGGGUGAGUAACACGUGAGUAACAUGCCCUUGACUUUGGGAUAACUUCAGGAAACUGGGGCUAAUACCGGAUAGGAGCUCCUGCUGCAUGGUGGGGGUUGGAAAGUUUCGGCGGUUGGGGAUGGACUCGCGGCUUAUCAGCUUGUUGGUGGGGUAGUGGCUUACAAAGGCUUUGACGGGUAGCCGGCCUGAGAGGGUGACCGGCCACAAUGGGACUGAGAUACGGCCCAGACUCCUACGGGAGGCAGCAGUGGAGAAUAUUGCACAAUGGGCGGAAGCCUGAUGCAGCAACGCCGCGUGCGGGAUGACGGCCUUCGGGUUGUAAACCGCUUUCGCCUGUGACGAAGCGUGAGUGACGGUAAUGGGUAAAGAAGCACCGGCUAACUACGUG
rnacentral:rRNA from 1 species